CCGGCGAUGUCCGAAUGGGGAAACCCAGUGCAAUUCGUUGCACUAUCGUUAACUGAAUACAUAGGUUAACGAGGCGAACCGGGGGAACUGAAACAUCUAAGUACCCCGAGGAAAAGAAAUCAACCGAGAUUCCCCCAGUAGCGGCGAGCGAACGGGGAGCAGCCCAGAGUCUGAAUCAGCUUGUGUGUUAGUGGAACGGUCUGGAAAGUCCGACGGUACAGGGUGAUAGUCCCGUACACCAAAAUGCACAGGCUGUGAACUCGAAGAGUAGGGCGGGACACGUGGUAUCCUGUCUGAAUAUGGGGGGACCAUCCUCCAAGGCUAAAUACUCCUGACUGACCGAUAGUGAACCAGUACCGUGAGGGAAAGGCGAAAAGAACCCCGGCGAGGGGAGUGAAAAAGAACCUGAAACCGUGUACGUACAAGCAGUGGGAGCACCUUCGGGUGUGACUGCGUACCUUUUGUAUAAUGGGUCAGCGACUUAUAUUCUGUAGCAAGGUUAACCGUAUAGGGGAGCCGCAGGGAAACCGAGUCUUAACUGGGCGUUAAGUUGCAGGGUAUAGACCCGAAACCCGGUGAUCUAGCCAUGGGCAGGUUGAAGGUUGGGUAACACUAACUGGAGGACCGAACCGACUAAUGUUGAAAAAUUAGCGGAUGACUUGUGGCUGGGGGUGAAAGGCCAAUCAAACCGGGAGAUAGCUGGUUCUCCCCGAAAGCUAUUUAGGUAGCGCCUCGUGAAUUCAUCUUCGGGGGUAGAGCACUGUUUCGGCUAGGGGGUCAUCCCGACUUACCAACCCGAUGCAAACUACGAAUACCGAAGAAUGUUAUCACGGGAGACACACGGCGGGUGCUAACGUCCGUCGUGAAGAGGGAAACAACCCAGACCGCCAGCUAAGGUCCCAAAGUCAUGGUUAAGUGGGAAACGAUGUGGGAAGGCACAGACAGCCAGGAUGUUGGCUUAGAAGCAGCCAUCAUUUAAAGAAAGCGUAAUAGCUCACUGGUCGAGUCGGCCUGCGCGGAAGAUGUAACGGGGCUAAACCAUGCACCGAAGCUGCGGCAGCGACACUAUGUGUUGUUGGGUAGGGGAGCGUUCUGUAAGCCUGCGAAGGUGACCUGUGAGGGUUGCUGGAGGUAUCAGAAGUGCGAAUGCUGACAUAAGUAACGAUAAAGCGGGUGAAAAGCCCGCUCGCCGGAAGACCAAGGGUUCCUGUCCAACGUUAAUCGGGGCAGGGUGAGUCGACCCCUAAGGCGAGGCCGAAAGGCGUAGUCGAUGGGAAACAGGUUAAUAUUCCUGUACUUGGUGUUACUGCGAAGGGGGGACGGAGAAGGCUAUGUUAGCCGGGCGACGGUUGUCCCGGUUUAAGCAUGUAGGCUGGUUAUCCAGGCAAAUCCGGAUAAUCAAGGCUGAGGUGUGAUGACGAGGCACUACGGUGCUGAAGUAACAAAUGCCCUGCUUCCAGGAAAAGCCUCUAAGCAUCAGGUAACAUCAAAUCGUACCCCAAACCGACACAGGUGGUCAGGUAGAGAAUACCAAGGCGCUUGAGAGAACUCGGGUGAAGGAACUAGGCAAAAUGGUGCCGUAACUUCGGGAGAAGGCACGCUGGUGUGUAGGUGAAGUCCCUGCGGAUGGAGCUGAGACCAGUCGAAGAUACCAGCUGGCUGCAACUGUUUAUUAAAAACACAGCACUGUGCAAACACGAAAGUGGACGUAUACGGUGUGACGCCUGCCCGGUGCCGGAAGGUUAAUUGAUGGGGUUAUCCGUAAGGAGAAGCUCUUGAUCGAAGCCCCGGUAAACGGCGGCCGUAACUAUAACGGUCCUAAGGUAGCGAAAUUCCUUGUCGGGUAAGUUCCGACCUGCACGAAUGGCGUAAUGAUGGCCAGGCUGUCUCCACCCGAGACUCAGUGAAAUUGAACUCGCUGUGAAGAUGCAGUGUACCCGCGGCAAGACGGAAAGACCCCGUGAACCUUUACUAUAGCUUGACACUGAACAUUGAGCCUUGAUGUGUAGGAUAGGUGGGAGGCUUUGAAGCGUGGACGCCAGUCUGCGUGGAGCCGACCUUGAAAUACCACCCUUUAAUGUUUGAUGUUCUAACGUUGGCCCCUGACCGGGGUUGCGGACAGUGUCUGGUGGGUAGUUUGACUGGGGCGGUCUCCUCCCAAAGCGUAACGGAGGAGCACGAAGGUUAGCUAAUCCUGGUCGGACAUCAGGAGGUUAGUGCAAUGGCAUAAGCUAGCUUGACUGCGAGCGUGACGGCGCGAGCAGGUGCGAAAGCAGGUCAUAGUGAUCCGGUGGUUCUGAAUGGAAGGGCCAUCGCUCAACGGAUAAAAGGUACUCCGGGGAUAACAGGCUGAUACCGCCCAAGAGUUCAUAUCGACGGCGGUGUUUGGCACCUCGAUGUCGGCUCAUCACAUCCUGGGGCUGAAGUAGGUCCCAAGGGUAUGGCUGUUCGCCAUUUAAAGUGGUACGCGAGCUGGGUUUAGAACGUCGUGAGACAGUUCGGUCCCUAUCUGCCGUGGGCGCUGGAGAAUUGAGGGGGGCUGCUCCUAGUACGAGAGGACCGGAGUGGACGCAUCACUGGUGUUCGGGUUGUCAUGCCAAUGGCACUGCCCGGUAGCUAAAUGCGGAAGAGAUAAGUGCUGAAAGCAUCUAAGCACGAAACUUGCCCCGAGAUGAGUUCUCCCUGAGACUUUAAGUCUCCUGAAGGAACGUU
rnacentral:rRNA from 1 species